rfam:Paenibacillus stellifer strain DSM 14472, complete genome.
GAGGCGGUAUCGCUAGCGAACUGCACUCCGGCAAGAAGUGAUGGUUUAUAGGAAACGCCAGCCUAAUCUUUAGAUGACAGGCGGCGGGUUCCUCUUGGUAACUGGAUCGACGGUUACGCCAGAUUCUGCUCUGAGCCGCAAGGACCGAGACAGAAGG